UCUCUAGCACAGUAUUGAUCAUAAUCUAUCAAAGUUAGAUUUUAUUUCAUCCGCCCUCCACCCUGUGGCUCGAGCUGGUCUCCUUCACUCUCGGCAGAGUUCCGGUAAUGGUUAUGUAAGUAGAUGAAUCAGAGACAACGCAGAGCAAAGUGUUUUCCUUAUAAGUUACACAGUUUUAUGUGUGAUCCUAAGGUGAUGGGUACUGGGGUAGGAGAAAAGCUACAAAGAACACUUUCGGGAACAUUGAUAAAAUUUUAAUAUGGACUGUUAGUAUUAUAUCAAUGUAAAAUGUCAUGGAUUUUAGUAGUUUUGUAGCCAUGGAAGAGAAUAACCCUGUUUUAAAGAAAAACCCAGUGACAUAACGCCCAAUAAUAAAGUGCUGUGAUGUCUCCGUCUCCAACAUACUCUGAAAUGUUCAUAAAAAUUAUAUAGAUGUACCGAUAGAGAAGUUGUUGCUUUUGCUAUUGGGAAUUUUAUCCUAUCUGGGGUCAUAUAGUUGCCUAUAAUGUUUUCUUUUGUCUUUAAUGUCCCUGAGGACAUGAACCCUUUUGGGAUGUUUCCAUAUUGCCUAGUUUUCUCUGAUGUAAGAUGUUAACAGAUUUGUUGAGAACCCACUCAUAGCAGAGAAAUCUUGUUUGGCUGAGUGGGUGAGCAGCAGUUUGGUGUAGUGAAAAGAACAGGGACUGGGAGCCAGAAGAUCCAGGUCCUCAACCCUUCUCUUCACUAAGACGUUGCAUGACUGUGGGCACAUCACUCACCUCCUCCUGGCACUGUCAUAGUUUAUAAAAGGAAGAUUGGGCUCUGUAGCUUUUAAGAUUUUGCUAGUCUUAAAGCUCUGGGCUUAAAUGAGCAGUGCAGAAAGAUAAUAGCAGAAUACUCAUGUGUAACACACAGUAUGUGAAGAAACCGAAAGGAAAUCAAAACAUAGGUAAUUAGCCAGAGCCGACAGGUGCGCAUGGCCUUCUGGUGCUGCCCAAGAUGACAGAGACAUCUCUUCAAGGAGAAGGCACUGGAACCAGUCCAUGGGAGUCUUAAGUGAUCACAGAGCACAAGAAAGAAAAACAGUGAUGGGAAGGGAGAGAAAGUGUUCGUCAAAAAUAGAUUAGACUUUCCUGUAUUUAUACAGUGGGUACUAUAAGUCAUUAUAAUGAAUAGCUUCAGGGUCUCUAUGUAUAUAUAUGUAUUGAUGUGCAAAAGAAUGUUUUGCAUAAACAGCCAGACAAUAAAACAAAUUACAUAAGGUUUUGUACUGUGUCAUACUGUUUUAAAGUCCUGUGUAAAGAAGAUCAAUGUCUAUGAAGGAGAAUAAUAAUAAAUACCAAAGUUUAGACAAUAGUGACUUCAGGAAGAAGAGAUCAUAAGCAAAAGGGGAGAGGGGUAAUUCUGGAGAUCAGUAGAUAAGAAGCGACAACUUAAGAAUAAUUGCUUAAGAUAAAUUUGGAACACCUUACACAAAUCUAAGAUUGGAUAGUAAUGGUAAGUGGAGACAAAAUGGCUUUUCUUACAUUAUUCAUCGUAACCUUUUCAGGGUUCUGAAUAUUUUAUAAGGAAACACCACAUCUGAAAACAAGGGCAUGUAGAAAAGUGGAGGGUGAAAGUGUUAAGAAUAAAAACUUUGGAGAAAAGUACUUAAGAAAAAGAGUGAUUAGAAAGUAAAACUAUACAUAAUAUGAGAAGUGCUUUUGUGCAUUUGGUCAAAUAGCCAUGAAUGUAGAAUAGAGAGUCACUCUUUUGUGUUUUGAAGGCAAAGUGCCUUCUGUGUCUUCAGAAAGAAUUGAGCUGCAUAUUUCUGGCCCAUGCUGCAUGUCUGACUUCAGCCAUCUAGAUUUUAGAGUAUAAAUCAAGCUUUCUUUUCCCCAUGCUUCUUUGCUUAAGUUUCAUAAAAAGAUAUGGCUUUAUUGGGGAUAUGGGUUUUUCCUCUUUGGGGAACAGGAGCAAAUGUGUUACGUGGCCAUUGUUUCUGACAGUUCAUUUAUGCAGAUGAAACAAUCCAUUCAUUUGGUGAGUCCAUGGAAUCAAUGGCUUCCACUUUGUACUUCUUGAAAAAUAUACAGCAUUUCAGGGCCCUGGAUUUACAUUCCACAGACUUUCUGUUAUAAUGGAAUAGUUCUGGGUCCCUUGAGGGCAGGCCUAUAGCUCUGCAAGAGUGUUGAUGGCUUUCCUGUGACAUGGGCAUGUGUGUUUCUAAAUGUUCGCACUUGGAACAGUUCUUUUAAAAGUUCCUUGACAUAUAACGUGGGAAGAAGUGCUUCUUAGGGACUGUUUAUGAGAAAAGUUGCCUGUAGACUUAGCUUUGAGGGCGAAAAUGUGGCCAGCUCAUCAUCUUCUUUAGGCAACAAUGCUUCUAAAUGGAGAGUGAGGAGCAUUUUUAAAAGCAGUUUGACUUAAACCUUUUUUCAGGGGGAACAGACAUCUCAAAAACUCUGUUUUCUCCUUUUAUGUCCAAUUGGGUAGUUUUGGAAAUGAGUAUUUCUAGUCUGCUGGGAAUUAACAGAAAAUAAUCAUAAAUGGGGUGAGAGAGAUUUUUAUUGGUUAGCCACGUUCUGACAUUGCUCUCCCAAAAUAAGAUAAUUCCCUAUUUUAUGUAAUUCUGAUGUUAUGGUUGGGUCUUUCCUACGUGCCGAUAAUUUCACUUCCUGCCAGGUCUCUAGUUGGCAGCUGUGGGCAGCUUGGCUGCUUUGCGCAUGAGUAAACAAUUAGUGACAGAUCUGUGGCAUUUUUAGAUAAACACUUAAUAUCAAGGUCAUGACCUUGAAAGAUAUUUGCAUGUACAUAGAAGACGACCUUGAAUACCAGGAUUAACAUUUUGAUUUUGCUAAAAUGAUUGCUUAAUAUAUAUGGUAAAGAUAGUGCUUUCGGCUCCAGUCUGCUUACAGUUUCACAGCCGAGAAUAUUAGGCAAGCCCGUCAGUUGAUUGAAGGAGAUACACUCCAUUCCUUCUCCUGGAGCCUUGAUAAGAUGCCGGGAUUCCGCAUCCUUGGAGAUGACUGGCUUGAACAAGGAUUGUGGAGAAGAAAUAAAAGAUCCGAAUUAAUUGACAUAGAAGGAGGUGGCACAGAGAGGUUCUUGACCACCCUGGAAGGGGCAAGGGGAUAAAGAGAUUCAUCCUCUGUUGAAUUAUUUACUCUUUGCUGUGUUCCUGAAGGAAAGUAGCUUUAUAGCCUUUAUCUUAUAAUGCCUCUUUAAUAGUCAGUUCUCUACUGGCUCUCUGCUCUGCUACGAAGCAGAGAGUAAGCCUCGGGAAACAGUGCCCAGUGCGUUCAAUGACUGACUGCUGAGUCGGAUGGUUGGAGCACUUCGGCAGAGCUCUCCAGGGAGCACCACCCAUGUGAAUCACUGGAGAGCCUCAGGAGCUCAGAGAGCCCUCUUGUCUCCUGACACUGCUCUCAUUUACCUGUGGGAUCAAUCUCAGGCUGCUGUGUCCCUUAACAUUAUUGCUUUUUUAACAUUGUUAUAAGCAUGCUUGCUUUUUUAACAUUGUUGUAAGCAUGGCAUAGUGGUUUGUGUAUGAAUUUAGAAGUCUGCUUGUUUAGUUCAAAUCAGUUCCAUAGCCUCCUAUCAUGGGAGAUACAGAAACUUAUUUUACCUCUAUGACUUUCUUCACCAGUGGAAGGGGGACGACAGUGACAUUAAGCUCCUUGUGUUUCAGUGGGAACGACCUCUGCCGAAAGUAACAGGAAACCCCGUGUCACACCGACAUGCCUAGUCACGAAAUCCGUCUCACUUAAGCGGAAGUCAGAAGAUAGUUUAGUUCAGGCGAAGUGGGACCAGUGGCUCAAGAGUACCCUUCAGGGCUCAACUGCUUUCUGCUUCUCCCCUUGGUCACUUCAUGGUGGCAGUGUGGUUGCAUUCACCCCAGAUGUCAUACCCAACAAUGGGAAAGAAUGUCUCGUUCUUGUGUAUCCUUUUUUUUUCUUUUAUUUAUUUAUUUUUUUUAUAAUUUUUUUUUAAUUUUCCCACUGUACAGCAAGGGGGUCAGGUUAUCCUUACACGUAUACAUUACAAUUACAUUUUUCCCCCACCCUUUCUUCUGUUGCAACAUGAGUAUCUAGACAAAGUUCUCAAUGCUAUUCAGCAGGAUCUCCUUGUAAAUCUAUUCUAGGUUGUGUCUGAUAAGCCCAAGCUCCCGGUCCCUCCCACUCCCUCCCCCUCCCAUCAGGCAGCCACAAGUCUCUUCUCCAAGUCCAUGAUUUUCUUUUCUGAGGAGGUGUUCGUUUGUGCUGGAUAUUAGAUUCCAGUUAUAAGUGAUAUCAUAUGGUAUUUGUCUUUGUCUUUCUGGCUCAGAACUUCCAUAUGACCCCGCAAUCCCACUCUUGGGCAUCUAUCCGGACAAAACUCUACUUAAAAGAGACACGUGCACCCACAUGUUCAUUGCAGCACUAUUCACAAUAGCCAGGACAUGGAAACAACCCAAAUGUCCAUCGACAGAUGAUUGGAUUCAGAUGUGGUAUAUAUACACAAUGGAAUACUAUUCAGCCAUAAGAAAGAAUGACAUAAUGCCAUUUGCAGCAACAUGGAUGAACUAGAGAAUCUCAUACUGUCACUGACAAGAGGAAUGAUCUUGCAAAUGGUCAAGACAAUCACUUAGCAUAGAUUUCACAGAGCCACCUCUGUGACUGCCACCCAAAGGAUUUCGUUAGUGAUUCAGUGAGAUACUGCACAUGAAACACGUCAUACAACCCCAGGCACAAAAUAAACCCUCAGUGAAUCAUUAUCUAUUAUUAGCUAUUUGGUCAAGUUACAAAUUUAUACUAAUGUGAAAUUACGGAUGCUACCUGAUAUGUUUCUUUAGGAACAUUUUUGUUCUAAUGAGCCAGAAGGCUUUAAAUGAAAAUAGUAUUUAAUGGUGGGUUUGCAGACAUCGAUAAGAUGAAUUAGGCAUCUAUUUUGUGGGCUUGGGGUACUUUUAUAGAAAUCCAUACAUCUGUUUAAUGAGGAGAGUUAUAUCCUUAGAGUUUCAACCACUGUUGGGACUGAGAAGUUAAUGAAACUACUGGAAAGAAUAAAAAUGAGAGCAGAACAAAAUUUCUUAACCACAGCUUGUCCGUAACCCACCCCUUCUCUUGCUUUUAGCUUCAUGAAUUACCUCAUCUCCAUGGUUAUUGCAGUCCACUCUGAAGACCUUAGAAGCUCUUCUUUAUUCCCGGCAGCCCUCACGUUGUCCCUGAUGCAACCUCUCAGUUCAUAACAACACUAGGUAGAGCCCACUUAGCGCCAGGCAGUAGGGGAGGUAUUCCUGCAAAUAAUCUCUGUUGUUCUCGCCUUGUCUCCAACUCCCUCAGAAUUCUAACCACAUAAUGGAGACGGAGAAGGAGAAGGAAUAGGCCUGAGGGUUUAAGAUUCGUUGGUAUAGACUGAAGCAGGAAUGUAAGCGAGCUCCCUCAUGAAUAAUUCUUGAGGGGCUCGAAGGUGGGAAAAAAAAAAAAAAAAAGAUAUGCUCAUUAGACUCAGGAGGCAUCUUGAGUUUUCCCUCCCAACUCUGCCUUUUAUUUGUUAAGAAGUUCCGAAUAGGGAAGAGGUUAUAACUCGACUUCAGGGUUUAAGUAAGGGUCCUAAUUUGCUUGCAAACUUGAAGGUACUUUGUAGUUAUUUUUCUACAUUUUCUUAUGUAAUGGCUGUGCAGGGUUGGUUGGGGCAAGCCUUGUAGCUUUUUUGCUUGACCUCCCUCCACUCAAGAUCACGGCGAAUAAAUAACAAGGGGAAUUUCUCAGGCUUAGUGAUGGGAGAUUUGGUUGAAAGGGGCAGUGCAGGUGCUUCUAAAACCCUUCCCUCAGAUGUGCCAGGACUCUGGCGCCUACAAGAUUGGUUUGGGACUCUUACAAGACCAGCCAUUCUCUGGGAAGUUUCCAAGAACUUCCUGUUACUAGUCAGGCAAAAAGAGAGAGAUGAAGAAUAAAGUAAACACAACUUCAUUUCUUUUGGGGAGUUCAGCAUAAUUUUUGUGGUUCAGGACAGAUUCAGAAAAUGCCAAGCUUGCAAUAAAUGUCACCUUUUUGGUAGCACUGUGGGUAGACAGAUGGUUAGUGGUCCCGCUGAUGGUGGUGAUGGUAUUGCGGGGGUGGUGUGGAGAAAAUCAGCAGAAUUUUUCAGAAUACUUUCAAUAGCUAUUCCUUGACAUCAGCAAACUCCUAUUGAUUCUAAAUGUCAUUAGUGUGUCUCUUUAUGGCCAUAAUUUUAGUUGCAUAAUCAUGUAUUAAUACUCUUUCUAAUAUGUAAAUAGUAUUUAUUUAAUAAAAUAAAUAUAUCCAAUAAAUAUUCAUGGGAUUCUGCUUUUAGUGCCUUCUUUGGGACCUUAAAAGGAGGGAAAAAAAAAGAUAGAAAAGGAGGAUCUUUCUGUUAUUACAAAGUGUCUUAAAAGGCUUAUCUUUUUUUUUCCCCCCACAAAGGAAAGGAAUAUUGUUAAGCAUCUUGGUUGAGCCUACAGCUCAGGAAGCAGUUAUCCCUCUUUUUUGACAGCCUUUUUCAAGACAUACUGCCUUUCAGAAAUGAAUGCUUUGUUUGCCUCCCUUCCUAACCGCAGCACUGCAUUUCACGACUCACACGAGUACUUAACGUAGAGGAGUCUCAUUGUAUUUCAGU
rnacentral:lncRNA from 1 species